UACGGAGGGUGCGAGCGUUGUCCGGAAUCAUUGGGCGUAAAGGGCGCGUAGGUGGCGGGACAAGCGUGCGGUGAAAGCCUGGGCUCAACCCCGGGUCGGCCGUGCGAACUGUUUUGCUUGAGCACUGUAGAGGCAGGCGGAAUUCCGGGUGUAGCGGUGGAAUGCGUAGAGAUCCGGAAGAACACCGGUGGCGAAGGCGGCCUGCUGGGCAGAGCUGACACUGAGGCGCGACAGCGUGGGGAGCAACAGG
rnacentral:rRNA from 1 species